AUGGGGAAGGGUCCCUUGGGAUGGGGAAGGGCCCUUGGGAUGGGGAAGGGCCCUGGGAUGGGGACCCUGCUCUGGUGUGGGUCUGGAAUCAAGAGAUGGCUCCAGCAGCCAUUCCUACUUUCUUUGCUGCCUUCGGCAUUCCCUGGGCUUCCCUCGGCCCCUCCAACCUCCCCCUGCUCCCCUCGGCACCCCAUCCCACAUUCCCCCAUCCCACAUUCCCCCAAUUUCACAUUUCCCCAUCCCACACCCUCCCGCACCCCGCUCUCCUCAGCCCUCCCUCCCGCACCUCUCUGCUCUCCUCCUCAGCGCUUCCCACAUUCUCCCACCCCUCUCAGCAUCCCAGCCUCGCCCCGCUCCUCUCGGCAUCCCAUCCCGAUCCCCAUUCCCCAUCCCCAUUCCCCGAUCCCAUUCCCCGAUCCCAUUCCCCGAUCCCAUUCCCCGAUCCCAUUCCCCGAUCCCAUUCCCCGACCCCAUUCCCCGAUCCCAUUCCCCGAUCCCAUUUCCCGUUCCCAUUCCCCGAUCCCAUUUCCCGUUCCCAUUCCCCGAUCCCAUUUCCCGUUCCCAUUCCCCGAUCCCAUUCCCGAUCCCAUUCCCGAUCCCGAUCCCGUUCCCGAUCCCAUUCCCGAUCCCAUUCCCGAUCCCAUUCCCGAUCCCAUUUCCCGUUCCCAUUUCCGAUCCCAUUCCCCGACCCCAUUCCCGAUCCCGUUCCCGAUCCCAUUCCCGAUCCCAUUGCCGAUCCCAUUUCCCGUUCCCAUUCCCGAUCCCAUUCCCCGAUCCCAUUCCCGAUCCCAUUGCCGAUCCCAUUUCCCGUUCCCAUUCCCGAUCCCAUUCCCCGAUCCCAUUCCCGAUCCCAUUGCCGAUCCCAUUCCCGAUCCCAUUCCCUCCUCCCUCCCGCGCCGCCUCCGCCCCUUCCCUCCCUGCGCGAUUAGCGAGGCCGGAGCCGCCCCCGGCACCUGCCCGGCCCUUCCUCCCUCCCUCCCUCCAUCCUCAUCCCGCCCUCUCCCAUCCCUCUCCCAUCCCUCUCCCAUCCCUCUCCCAUCCCUCUCCCAUCCUCUCCGGUCCCUGCCGGUGCCGGUGCCGGUGCCGGUGCCGGGCCCGGGCCGCAGCACCGCGGCCAUUGCGGGGCCGCUCCCGCCGCUCUCCCCGCUCAGCCCCGGCCAUGAGGAGGAGGAGGAGGAGGGCGGCGGCUCCGCGCUCAGCCCCCGGGCCCUGCUGAGAUCCCCGGGCCCUGCUGAUCCCCCCUGGACCGCUCUGAUCCCCCCCGGACCCUGCUGA
rnacentral:lncRNA from 1 species